rnacentral:tRNA from 1 species
UGCCCGGUCGUCUAAUGGCAGGACACCUGGUUUUGGUCCAGGCAGUGGGGGUUCGAAUCCUCCCCGGGCAACAA